rnacentral:rRNA from 1 species
AGACGUCUACAUUAGAUACCCCCGUAGUCCCAGCCGUAAACUAUGCGCGUUAGGUGUAUCGGUGACCACGAGUUACCGAGGUGCCGAAGGGAAACCGUGAAACGUGCCGCCUGGGAAGUACGGUCGCAAGGCUGAAACUUAAAGGAAUUGGCGGGGAGCACAACAACGGGUGGAGCCUGCGGUUUAAUUGGACUCAACGCCGGACAACUCACCGGGAACGACAGCAAUAUGUAGGCCAGGCUGAAGACCUUGCCUGAAUCGCUG